rnacentral:lncRNA from 12 species
GUCAUCUUGAAUCUGGGAGAAAUCCUGCUCAGUUCGGAAUUUUAGCAGGCAGAAACCCGCUCCCAGCCAGAAGCACCUGGGCAGGAACAGAGGCCUAUUUCCCUGUGAAACAAAACUCAUGCCCCCAGUUUCUGGAUAUCACUUUGUAGGAGGUGUUUGGCACUCCAAAAGAAGCCGGGGUUCAAAGUGGUGCCAGCUUGGGUCUGUGAAAAACCCUUCUCUGUUCGGAAUUCUAGCAGUCAGAAGCCUCCUCUCGUACACAGGACACAAACGGUGGCCUACGUCCUGGUGAAACUGUGGCCUAUUUCCCUAGGCCUCAUCUGUUCUGCCAGGGUCACAUGGUGAACACACACAGGGAAUAUGGCUCAGCCUUCUUGCUGCUCUGUUGGGAUCGUGACAUGGGUAACUUAGAAAAGCUGGUGUAUGACAGUUCGAAUAUUCUAGAGCGUGGAGGAGGUGCUGCUGGAUGGAAGAACGAAGAUGUAGAAGACAAGAAAUCCCUGGAGGCAUCCAAACUUCUGGACAAGAUGCUGGGGGAUCUGGAGAGACGCCGUGUGAUGAAAGGAAAGACUCUGCUGAAGGCUGAGUUUCCCGGAGGAAGCAGUGGUUCUGUGUCAGCCUCUGCUGCAGGAGGGGAAGCGAUGCCAGUCACAGGAGGAGAGCAUUCUAGAAAGGCUUCUCCGGCAGCUUGGCUUCAUGAAGAUUUGCAGUCUCUGGAGCCUCCUGCAGGUGUGUCUGCAAGGAGGACUUUUCAAGGUACUUUGCUGGUUGCUCCACACAAGCUUGGCUCCCAUCACAGGGGUCUGCUGAGAGGGAGUAACAAACUUAAAGGAGACAGUAAGUUCCUGGAGACAUCCAAAGACAUGGACAAGAUGCUGGGGGAUCUGGAGAGACGCCAUGGUGGGUGCAUUUCCCUCAGCCUUCUCCUGAGGCUCAGCAGCCGGGGGCUUUCUCUGCACAUCUGGACACGCCGUGCCCGGCACAGUGGGAAGGGAUCCACGGCAGCCUCGCUGCCCUGCUGCUUCUGUCACACCCUGCAGGGCACUUUCCCAGCCUGGCCUGGCUGCAACUUCUCCCCAGGCUCUGCAGGAAGGCAUUUGGCAUCAGCUGACAGGGAAUCCUAUCUGCACCAUGGGCCAUGCACAACCUUAUACCUCCUGAAAUUUCCUGAUCUCUCAGCAUAUCAGGAGGGGCAGCUGAUUGGAGGAGGGAGGCCCUGGCCAGCCUCAAUAGCCUGGCCUUUUUCCUGA